AAUUGCUGCGAUGAGCCUACAGACCUGUAUUGAUCUGCACAAAUGAUUGCAAAUUUCUAAGAACAUCUAAGGGACUGAUUGUGGUA
rnacentral:snoRNA from 1 species